UGCGAACGGGUGAGUAACGCGUAGGUAACCUGCCUGGUAGCGGGGGAUAACUAUUGGAAACGAUAGCUAAUACCGCAUAAUAGUAGAUGUUGCAUGACAUUUGCUUAAAAGGUGCAAUUGCAUCACUACCAGAUGGACCUGCGUUGUAUUAGCUAGUUGGUGAGGUAACGGCUCACCAAGGCAACGAUACAUAGCCGACCUGAGAGGGUGAUCGGCCACACUGGGACUGAGACACGGCCCAGACUCCUACGGGAGGCAGCAGUAGGGAAUCUUCGGCAAUGGACGGAAAGUCUGACCGAGCAACCGCCGGCGUGAGUGAAAGAAAGGGUUUUUCGGGAUCGUAAAAGGCUUCCUGUUGUA
rnacentral:rRNA from 1 species